GACGAACGCUGGCGGCGUGCUUAACACAUGCAAGUCGAACGGAAAGGCCCCUUUGGGGGUACUCGAGUGGCGAACGGGUGAGUAACACGUGAGUAACCUGCCCUUGACUUCGGGAUAACUUCAGGAAACUGGGGCUAAUACCGGAUAGGAAUCCUUGCUGCAUGGUGGGGGUUGGAAAGCUUCGGCGGUUUUGGAUGGACUCGCGGCUUAUCAGCUUGUUGGUGGGGUAGUGGCUUACCAAGGCUUUGACGGGUAGCCGGCCUGAGAGGGCGACCGGCCACAUUGGGACUGAGAUACGGCCCAGACUCCUACGGGAGGCAGCAGGGGGGAAUAUUGCACAAUGGGCGGAAGCCUGAUGCAGCAACGCCGCGUGCGGGAUGACAGCCUUCGGGUUGUAAACCGCUUUCAGCAGGGGCGAAGCUUGUGGUGACGGUACCUGCAGAAGAAGCACCGGCUAACUACGUG
rnacentral:rRNA from 1 species